UACGAAGGGAGCUAGCGUUGUUCGGAAUCAUUGGGCGUAAAGCGCGCGUAGGCGGCCCGGUAAGUCCGCUGUAAAAGUCAAAGGCUCAACCUUUGAAUGUCAGUGGAUACUGCCGGGCUAGAGUCCGGAAGAGGCGAGUGGAACUCCUGGUGUAGCGGUGGAAUGCGCAGAUAUCAGGAAGAACACCGACGGCGAAGGCAGCUCGCUGGGACGGUACUGACGCUGAGGCGCGAAAGCGUGGGGAGCGAACAGG
rnacentral:rRNA from 1 species